UUAACUCAAAUUUGUAUGGAGUUGGAACGUUUGCCUAUUUUUGCCGUCAGGGUCGCUGUUCCAACUGUAUACUAAUUUUGAGUUA
rnacentral:pre_miRNA from 1 species